ACGCAGUAGCAAUACCUGGAGUGGCAAACGGGUGAGUAUAAUGUGGGAAUCUGCCUUUUGGUCUGGAAUAACACGAGGAAACUUGUGCUAAUACCGGAUAAGCCUUUACAGGGAAAGUUUUAAUGCCAAAAGAUGAGCCCGCACUUGAUUAGCUAGUUGGUAAGGUAAUAGCUUACCAAGGCAACGAUCAAUAGCUGUUCUUAGAGGAAGACCAGCCACAUUGGGACUGAGACACGGCCCAAACUCCUACGGGAGGCAGCAGUGGGGAAUCUUGCACAAUGGGGGCAACCCUGAUGCAGCGAUGCCGCGUGAGUGAAGAAGGCCUUUGGGUUGUAAAACUCUUUCGUCGGGGAAGAAAAUGACUGUACCCGAAUAAGAAGGUCCGGCUAACUUCGUGCCAGCAGCCGCGGUAAUACGAAGGGACCUAGCGUAGUUCGGAAUUACUGGGCUUAAAGAGUUCGUAGGUGGUUAAAAAAGUUGAUGGUGAAAUCCCAAGGCUCAACCUUGGAACUGCCAUCAAAACUUUUCAGCUAGAGUAUGAUAGAGGAAAGCAGAAUUUCUAGUGUAGAGGUGAAAU
rnacentral:rRNA from 1 species